CUCUCUCUCUCUCUCUCUCUCUUUCUCUCUGACAUUCCUGUCUGUUUGGAGUUCUGCAGAGCCGUCACCAGGAGGCUCUGUGGCCCUUACAAUGUAAACCCUGUUGGGUUUAUGCUGUUGAUCAUUAUUCACUGCUAAGACUUCUGGGCUCUGGAGUUGUGGGAGAGUGCCCACUCAGAGGAGGGGAGCACGAACACAUUGAUCUUAUUUGGACAGGCUUUUGUCUGGGACACAUCCAAACCCAAACAGCCAAGGGAAGGACCACAACAGGGUUUUAUGGUGGAAAAAUACCCUGAAUGGUGCUGAUCCAAGCCGGAGGAUGGAUGAUGACUGCUCAUGAACUCAUGGAGGAAAACAGUAAAUAAUCAAAACAGUGCUUUAGGGUGAAACUGUGGUGACCUAGUGAGUUGCUGUGUUAGACAGGUAGACAGUUAUACACAAGCUGUAUACAUUUACUGUACACUACAAACUAAACUAGGGCUCCAGCCUGAAAAAUGACUUCAACUGUUAAUAAACUAUUAAAAAAGUGGCUUAUUAAUUUUCUGUCGAUUGAAUUAGCUUAGGAGACAUUGUUAUUCAAUUAGAUAGAAAGAGCUGAUAUACCAAACAGACCUAAAGACUGCAAUGUUCAUUAAAACCACACAAAAGUGAUGAACUGAACAAACACAGCGCUGAUUUUUCUAGACUUUUCUGUAGAGACGCUAAAAAAGUGUGAGCACUAGAAGAAACCCAAAUGGUUUAUCUCUGUGAAUGUGUUCAGCAAAUGUCACGGCAAUCUGCCAACUGCAUGAUGGGAUGAUUUGGCCUAAGGACGGUGGUAGAGGAAAGCUCAUGCAACAAAAAAGGGUUCAUCCUCUGGGGGUCAUGAAUUUCCUCAGUAAAUUUCAUGGCCGUUGUCAUUUGAAUAUUCAUUUUUAUUAUGUGUGGAAAUGUUGGCCUGUUUGUGUGGCACGAGAUGAAAGAUCAAGGGGUCUCUAAAUGUAUUAGGAACCAUAUGAGGACCAUGAAUAUACACUAGUUGAUAUAUAUUCUGUGUUGAGCAGAUUGACUGUUUCAGGUCAACACACACCAAAAAUGUUACUAUUUAGCAACAAAACAUUUACACACAAACAAAUGCUCUGCAUAUUUUGUCGUGACUGUCAAACAUUCAACCCUGUUCCAUUUGUGCUCGUGUGUGGGUUUCUUCUGUUUUAGUAAGGUGAAAUUAUUCAAUUUUCAUUUUAUUAUUCAUGUUCAAGGAUUGCUCUAGUUAAAAAAAAUUAAAUGUGGAAAAUUGCAAAGCAACAUGCUCCUGCCUUUAUCUGCCAUCUUUUUAGAAUAAGUUAAUGCUCAACCGGUUGCAUGGGGAUAACAUCAGACAUGUAUUCCUGCAGCUUUAUGGUUUAUUGGCUGUUAUGUUUUGACUGGAUCGUUAUCUUCGGCUGCAUCAAAUAAGCACUUACCUGGAUGCUUUAAAAAUUAUUCAAAGUACUCAUUCACAUUCUUAUCAGCCAUUUGGAAAAAAGGAAACUAUGGGUGUUCCUCAGUCUGUUUUGCUUUGUUCUGAUUGUCCCCAAAAAUGUCACAGCAGGGGAAAAAUGGACACUUAGCAACAUUUUCACGUAAUCCCUUUAGAUGUGCAUUUGGAAAACAAAAAUAUCACAUAGGUCUUGUAUUUAAUUUGUGUGUGAUCUCUGAAAAAGUUGUGUACCUGAAGAGAGGUUUCACUCAAGAACCAAUUCAUAAAUGAGCUUAUAUGGACAAAGAACUAUCUAGCAUCUAAGUUAUGCAGUAGUCAGGUAAAGUCAAGGCAGUUGUAUUAAUAUAGCCCAAUACCACAAGUCACAAUUCAAGGGGCUAAACAAGCUGUAUAGCAUACAACACCCUCUAUCCUUUGACCCUUGAUUCGGAUAAGGAAUUGAAAAAUACAAAUAUAGAAGGUCUUCAGGUACAUCAAAUAUGAUCAAACCUGAGUACAUCACUUGUUUUGUGAAAGAUUCCUGGUAAUAAACUCAUACAAUUGGCU